UUUUGUUAAGGUAGGAGGAUGUCUAUCCUAAGCAUGUGAAUACUUCCUCCAGUGAAAUGGACAAAUGACAGCAAUUUAUCCCCAUGUCCCUGAGUGCAGCUGACGCAGGUACCAUAGAAUAGUUAGAACUCGGUCAGACAUCCAAGAUGCCAAGGUCAUCCACAGCAUUCUGGAUCAUCACUGGUCAUCUGACUUUUGUCUUACCACUGGAUUUCAAUGACUCUCAAAGACAGAUUGAAACUGAUGACAUUGUGUAACUCUGCCUCACAUAAUUUUAAAUCACAGUCAAGUCAAGAUAUCACUCUAUGAUGUCACUCUUCCUAUUCUAAAAUGCAGGAUGAACAACUACUUAAAUAAGGAACAUCCCCUCAAAAAAGUGGGGAUUUUCUGGAUGGCAAGGGUUCCAGUAAAAUAAAUGAUCAUUAAGUCUAUCUACUUCUGAUUAGCUGAACAGUUUUGUUUUUUGUUUUUUCCCCUUAAUAGGCAGAUUUAUUUAUGUGCUAACUCACAAUCUAAGCUCAGAACGCCUAUGUUUGUUCAGGAUUAUAUAGUGGACUUGUGAUUUCAAUUAUGCAGAGGAUUCCUAAAGUAACUACUUCUAUUAAUGCAAGUUAGAGCAUUCUCUGAAACUUAAAAUCUUAAUUUUUCCUAAGGCAACUUCACAUUAAUUACCUUUACCAGAGUUAGAUAAUCAGUAGGUAUCAAAAGAAAGAUUUAAACCAGAUAUUCUGACUUCCAUUUUCAGGUCUCUAAUCAAUAUUCAAUGCUUUAUCUCUUAAUUCAGAAAAGAAUAGAAAAUCUCUUUUGUUUUUCUCUGUCUGCUCUGAUUAGUGAGCACUACUCUCUUAAAUGUAGUAUAAUACAAUUUCAUUUUCUAGGCCAAGAUCCUAGAAGAUCAGCAUGAAAAUGAGGAGUCCAAUUUGUUAAUCCCCUUAUUUAUUUUUUCCUCUUCAUUACAUGCUACCAACUAAAAUAAUGCACUUUUCCAAGAAAUAAUUUGUGUCACUGUUGAGGGAACUAAAUGUUUUCAUUUUUUGUCCUCCUUUAAUAUUCAUAUCAGGUGCUUCCAACUGGAGAAAACUUUAUUUCUAAAAGGGAUAUGCCAUACUAAAUGGAGGAAUUGCUUUCAUGAUAAUUCAGUUCCCUUCCUUCCAAAUCAGCUUCCUUACCAUCUAGUUACCACAUUACUAUCCAAGAAUAAAGGUUCUUCGAUAGUAAUGGGGUAACUAGAUGUUUUCAAGUAGACACUACAUCAUGAUUUGAUGAGGGUAUAAUAAAGCAGAUUACUAAACAGUUCUUAGGCUGCAUAUUUUCUGAGGUCUUUUUCAACUCUAAGAUAUUGAGAGAAUCUUUACCAGUUUGGAGAUAUUCUGUCUAACAUUUUUUUGAGUGCAUUUUUCACAUCUUUAUUUCUCAGACUGUAUAUAAUAGGGUUGAACAUGGGGAAUACAACAGUAUAAAAAACAGCCACAACCUUAUCUGUAUCUGGUGAGUAUUUGGUGCUGGGACUAAAUACAUGAACAAAAGUGUCCCAUAAAAUAAAGUUACAGCUAUUAAGUGGGAAGCACAUGUAGAAAAGGUCUUACUUCUCCCUCCCGAUGAUUUGAUAUUCAAAACUGUAAUGAGAAUACAGAAGUAAGAAAUGAAAAUGAUCACAAAAGUACUGGUCUGGAUGAAACCACAUAAAGCAAAAAGCAGGACCUCAUUGAGGGUAGUAUUGGCACAAGACAAAGCUAAUAAUGGUGGUAUGUCACAAAAAAAGUGAUUGAUGACAUGGGAUCGGCAGAAUGGCAAACCGAAGGUCAGACUCACGUGAACCAGGGAAGUCAUGCUUCCACUGAAAUAGGCCAAGACAAUGAAGAAGACACACACUUUCCUGGACAUAAGCGUUGAAUACAUCAAUGGAUUGCAAAUGGCUGCAUAGCGGUCAAAGGCCAUUGCAGCCAGAAUGAGGCAUUCUGCAUCAGCAAAGCAAGCAAAGAAGUACAUUUGAAGGGCACAACCAUACAGAGAAAUGUUCUUCUUAGAAGAUAAGAAGUUCACCAGCAUCUUGGGAGCUAUGGCUGUGGAAUAGCUGAGGUCUAGAAAGGAGAGAUUACUGAGAAAAUAAUACAUGGGAGUUUGAAGAUUAGAAUCAAUAUUGACCAAGGCUAUUAAACCAAUGUUUCCCACCAAAGUCAAAACAUAGAUGAUCAAAAAUAAAAGGAACAGAGUGAUUCGGAGAGGUAAGUAAUCUGUGAAACCAGUAAAAAUAAAGUCAGUUGGUGGAGUGCAAUUUCUUUCAGACAUCUUUGUUUGGAAGAACUUCAUAACUGAGAUAAACAGUAGGUAGGGUUUUCAGCUGAGUUGCAUAUUAUUGGAUAAAUCCAGAAUGCAUUCUAUCUCACUUCUGUAAAAAUGAAUAGAGAGAUAAGAAUGUCUUUCCUGCCUCAUCAAAAAAAAAAAUCAACUAUUCAAGUCUUAUAUUUAAGGGAAAGCCUUAAAUGAUGUGAAAGAAUGGUAUCAAGGAGCAAAUAAUUUAGGUAAUCACAAAAUGCUAUUUCUAAUUAAAUGAUAAUGACCACAAAUAUUUAUAUGGAUUUUUAAAAUUCAUUGUAAACUUAAAAUUUAUUUUCUCAUUUGAUACUCUCAACAAUUCUGCAAGGAUAGUACUUUGGAUAGACUCAUUUUGAAAGAUAAAGAAAUUUAGGCCAGAUGAUUCAGCUGAUUUAUCCACUGCCAUGAAGAUAAUUUUGAAUUAUAUGUGGCAUUUAAACUCAGCUGUUUCUGACAAAUACAGCUUUCUAUUCAUCUUUUCUUAUCAUACCCUUCAAACGAUGAUAAUGAUAGACAAUACUUUGAUGGAUAUAAGAAUUAUAUCUUAUAAGAAUUAAGAAUAAUAAGAAUUAUAAUUCAAAGAGGGAAUCAUAUACACACUCAAUUUGGUAGAGAAAUCUAUCUUACCCUAUAGGAAAAUAGGAGGAAAGGGGAAAAAAGAAAGGGCAUGGGUGAUAGAAGGGAAAGCAUUGGGAAAGGGAUAGUCAGAACCAAAACAUUUUUGAGGAGGGGCAGGGUGAAGGGAAAGAGAAUAGGAUAAAUGGAGGAGAAAAAUAGUUAGCAAUGAAAAUUGCAAAAAGAAUUUUAAAGCAAGCUUCUCUGAUAAGCCCUUAUUUCUAAAACAUAAAGGAAACUGAAUCAAACUAUAAAUAAUAUCCAUGGCCCAAUAGAUAAAUGAUCAAAAAUAUGAGCUAUGCCCCAAAUUAUAAAAGUAUGUAUAUUCUUUGAUUUAAUAUUACUAUUAGGUCUUACUCCCAAAAGAGAUUUAAAAAAGGAACAGAACCUCUUUUAUAGGGACAAAGAAUUAUAAAUUGAGAGGAUUCCCAUCAAUUGGGAAUGGCUAAAUAAAUUGUGGUAUAUUAUGAUGAAAUACUCUUAUGCUAUAAAAAAGGAUGAAAACUGGGAUAAAAGAUGAGGGAAACCAUGGAGUAAAUGCCGAAGUUGAUCCUGCUUGUUACAACCAAGUCUUAAAUUUUCAUAUUUAUGCCUCAAAUUUUAACAUAUGCCAUAAAUCAGGACUUCAUUUAUUAUUAUUGAUAAUCUACUUUAAGAUGUUGAUAGAGAACAUAUUAAUAAUGAAGAUUAACUUUAAAAUGUGUCUUGCAUAAUUUCUUUUUUGGAGAUCCAGUUAAAAUGUAUCAGUCUUUCCUUGGGUGAUUCAAUGUAAAAGAUCCUAGAAAUUAGACCUGGAACUGAGUUCCCGUCCAGCCUCUUAUUUUCUGUAUAACUGUAGCUAGAUCAUUUUAUUUGUCUUUUCCUCUAUUUUCUCAUCCACUAAAUAGCAUUCUUGCACUGAGUUAUUUCUAGGAAAGUCUUGGUAAACUAUAAAAUAAUGUAUUAGUGAGUCAAAGUGAGCUGGUAUAAUUAUUCCUAAUUAAAGGGAAGAUGUGUAUUAUAUAUUAUCAUAAUGAACUAUGAUCAGAACAAUCACUGCUCAGUGUCUGAUACAAGUUUAGUAUUUAAUAUUUAUUGACUAACUGGCAUCAUUUGAUCCUAUAGCCUUUGACAACUUCUGAAUCUUUCAUUUGAAAUUGAAGCAAAUCCUUUUUGAAACAGGUUAAAAUCACAUGUCAAUUAAAAAAAAUGCUAGAUCUCUUUAAUUAAAAAUUGAAAAGGCAUCCUAUCAAGUACAGAUGACACAUAAUGAUAUGUCUUAUUUUGACUAAGCAAGAUUUUUCAAUUUAUUUCUCUUAAGAGUUUAGCUUAUCUUGUCUUAAGCUCUAAUUAUUUGUAUUGGAGUAUGUCUUAAUUAUAUGUCAGCAUGUGAUUUUAUUAAUUUCUUUAUAUUUUGCUCUAACACAGAUCAUAUCACAUCUAUUCUGCAACUUACUAGAAAGGGAAAUUUAUGUCCCUGCAGCCAAAUUGGUUAAUACUUCCCAUGUUCAGUGAUGCUGGUUGCCAGCUAAAUAAAAUACCAAAUAACACCAAAUAGUUGAAAAUGGACUUUUCAAUUUUAUAGGAUCUCCAAAAGCUUUUACUGCACUGACACCCAUUUUAACCUCUAUUAUGCAGUAACCGAGUGUGAUUUUAGCCAGGAAACACUUUAUCAAAUCAGUAUUUCCUGCUCUUGUAUGGAAUUCAAAAAUAAUAUAUUAUUAAAGCUUAAAGGCAUCUGACACAUAAUUAAGAAAUAAAAGGAUCAUCUAGCAUAGAAGAUAACAUGAUAGUCUUCAGAAGGAACCUUAGAAUAAAAAAUAUAGAAUCUUGGAGUAGGAUGAUACUUUAGUACAAAAAAAAUACCAAUCAAAUUUCUACAAAGACCAAUUAUUUGAUAUUUUUCAAAUUAAGGGGAUAUGGCCAGGCUUUAGUGACCCACUGGCAGCCAUUCACACCUAUAAACCUGUCAGCUUUAAUAUUUUCAAUAUCCACUGACUUAAUACUUACCUCACCUGGACAGCUGCCCCCUAAGAGUCACUGAUAUUAUCGUUUUAAGAUAAUGUAUUCCUCAUGACUGGAAGCAUAGCCUAAACCUCAUGGUCUUUCAGUGAGAAGGCAAUAGAACCAUUUUGUACAAGACUCUCAGCUCAUUACUACCUCCACAAUUUUGUCCUUGUUUCCUUAAGCAAUUUUCACAUAUAUGAUCAAAAUACACAAUGAUUUUGGACCCCUUCAAAGUCUCAUUUGCAGAACUUACAUGAACAAUAUAGGUACAAUUCUCUCCUUGAUAUUAUGAGUCACUUGUGUGAAGAGUGAAGACUAUUUAUAUCUUGCCCUUUGGCAUGUGAGACAUUUUCCCUGGAGCAACUUUAACUCUGGGGCUGAUGAUAGUUAAUUAACUUCAUCUCAGAGUAGUUGGAUGUUUUUUUGGUUUGUUUGUUUAUUUGUUUGUUUGUUUUGACAUAAAAUGGUGUUGAAUACAAAGCUAUGUGAAAAUAAGGCAAUGUGCAUGACUUCUCCCCCAACACACACAUAUAUUCUGAUAUCAUGAGAUCAGGGGUUUCCAAUUGACUACCAAUCAAUGAAAAGGGGUAAGGGAAUAUAUCAGAAGUAAAUAUUAAAGUAUCAUAUUUCUCUACACUUCCCUUUGAUAUUAUUUCCACAGAGUCUACCAAAUAUUUAUUCAAAUUAUUGAAAUGUGAAGGAAUUCUCAGGAUCAAAUUAGAUAUUUUUGAGAAAACCAGUUGCAAACUUUCUGUACAUGUCAUUCAAUUUUUGAUUCAAUUUUUAUGUACUGAAUGUAAUUUCCAUAUGUACUCCUUCUAUAUCUUCUCUUUGAUCUUUAGUUCUUUUCAUUUUUCUUCAUUUUAGUUUAGUUCUGAUCUCAUCUAUUGCUACUUUCACUCAAAAAUCUUAUGGAAACAUAUUAAUUUCAUCUAUGCCUAAUAAGAUUUCCAGGCAGGAAAUGGUCCUUAUUUGGGAAAGAAAUGGAUGUUGGAGGGAAUUUAAUGACAACCAUUAGAAAAUAAGUUUCUUUUUGAAAAUAAUUAUAAAGUCAUAAGAUUAUAAGAUAUUGUAUCUAGAGUUAUAAGAAUCAGAGACCAUUUUUUACAACCCACCCCCUUACUACAAUAUUCACAAUUAAACCAUGAGACAACAGAAAGUCUACAAGUGUUAACUAAUUCCUAAGGUUUCACAGGUGGUAAGGGGAACAGGUCGGAUAUGAUCUCGGGUUCUGUUCCUUCAAAUUCAGUGAAUUUUUCAUUGUAGCAUACCUGUAAAAAAAUAAUAAAUAAGAUGUGUGGUACAGAUAUUUAAAACAUUUUGUAAACUUGGAAGUACUUCAUCAAUUUCAUUUACUUUGUUUUAUUUUUCAUAGUCCAAAGUUGUAAGUUAUUUGUCUUUUUACAAUCUUUUCAAGUCAGUUAUGGUGUUAUUGAGGCACCUAGAAGUGGCAGUGGAUAAGAGUGCUGAGGCUGGAGGCUGGAAGACUCAGCUUUCUCAGUUCACAUGUACGCUUCAGAUACUAGAUAAGUCACUUAACUUAAUUUGCUUUAAUUGUUCAUCUGAAAAUGAUUUGGAGAAGUAAAUGGUAAAUCAUUCUAGUAUCUUAGACAAGAAAUCUCCAAAUGGGAUCACAAAAAAUCAUACAUAACUGAAAAAUGAUAGAACAAGAAUAACGUGUAUAAGAAAGAGCUGGGAAUUACUUUGUCAAUUGCCAUAGGGACCAGAGUUUAUGAGUGCAAUGUAGUAAUUGUAAACACUAACUCCAUGCCAAUAAAUAGAGAAACAAAGAAUACAUAUACAUAUCCAAAUACACAUAGUAUUUCUACUUGGAUAUAAAUUCUUUUUUUAAAUUUAAUUUUAUUAAAUUAUUAUUAUUUAUUAUUAUUAUAGCUUUUUUAUUUAUAAAACAUGUGCAUGGGUAAUUUUUCAACAUUGACCCUUGCAAAACCUUCUGUUCCAACUUUUCCCCUCCUUCCCCCCAACACCUCCCCUAGAUGGCAGGUAGUCCAAUAUAUAUUAAAUAUGUUAAAUAUAUGUUAAAGCCAAUAUAUUUAUAUAUAUAUAUAUAUAUAUAUAUAUAUAUACAGUUAUCUUGCUAUACAAGAAAAGUCGAAUCUAGAAAGAAAGAAAAAAUUAUCUGAGAAGGAAAACAAGAAUGUAAGCAAACAAUAACAGAACAAGUUGAAGUGCUAUGUUGUGGUUCACGCUCAUUUCCCAUAGUUCUCUCUGUGGGUAUAGUUGAUUCUCCUCAUUACUGAACAAUUGAAGCUGGUUUGAAUUAUCUUAUUGUUGAAGAGAGCCACAUCCAUAAGAGUCGAUCAUUGUACAAUCUUUUUUGUUGUCAUGUACCAUGUACAAUGACCUCCGAGUUCUGCUCACUUCACUUAGCAUCAAGUCAUACAAGUCUCUCCAAGCCUCUCAGAAAUCAUCCUGCUGGUCAUUUCUUACAGAACAAUAUUCCACAAGAUUCAUAUACCACAAUUUAUUCAGUCAUUCUCCAAAUGAUGGGCAUCCAUUCAAUUUCCAGUUUCUAGACACUACAAAAAGGACUGCCAUCAACAUUUUUGCACAUGUGGGUCCCUUUCUCUUCUUUAAGACCUCUUUGGGAUAUAAUCCCAGUAGAAACACUGCUGGAUCAAAGAGUACAAAUAAUUUGAUAACUUUUUUUGAGUUUAGUUCCAAACUGCUUUCCAGAAUAUUUGUAUUCAUUUACAAUUCCACCAACAAAGUAUCAGUGUCCCAGUUUACUCUCAUCCCCUCCAUCAUUGAUCAUUAUUUUUUUUCCUGUUAUCUUAGACAAUCUUAGUCAAUGUGUAGUGAUAUCUCAGAGUUGUCUUAAUUUGCAUUUAUCUGAUCAAUACUGAUUUGGAGCACCUUUUCAUAUAACUGGAAACAUUUUCAAUUUCUUAAUCUGAAAAUUGAUUGUUCAUAUUGGGUGCAAAUUCUUAUAAUGAUGCACACAGAUAUAUGCAAACAUGUACAUAAAUAUGUUCAUAUAAGUAAAGCAUUUUUCUAAGGAAUUAGAAGAUGAUACCAAAUUAUUUUUAAAA
rnacentral:lncRNA from 1 species